rnacentral:rRNA from 1 species
AUUGAACGCUGGCGGCAGGCCUAACACAUGCAAGUCGAGCGGAUGAAGGGAGCUUGCUCCUGGAUUCAGCGGCGGACGGGUGAGUAAUGCCUAGGAAUCUGCCUGGUAGUGGGGGAUAACGUCCGGAAACGGGCGCUAAUACCGCAUACGUCCUGAGGGAUAAAGUGGGGGAUCUUCGGACCUCACGCUAUCAGAUGAGCCUAGGUCGGAUUAGCUAGUUGGUGGGGUAAAGGCCUACCAAGGCGACGAUCCGUAACUGGUCUGAGAGGAUGAUCAGUCACACUGGAACUGAGACACGGUCCAGACUCCUACGGGAGGCAGCAGUGGGGAAUAUUGGACAAUGGGCGAAAGCCUGAUCCAGCCAUGCCGCGUGUGUGAAGAAGGUCUUCGGAUUGUAAAGCACUUUAAGUUGGGAGGAAGGGCAGUAAGUUAAUACCUUGCUGUUUUGACGUUACCAACAGAAUAAGCACCGGCUAACUUCAUG